UACGGAGGGUGCAAGCGUUAUCCGGAUUCACUGGGUUUAAAGGGUGCGUAGGUGGGAAUGUAAGUCAGUGGUGAAAUCUCCGUGCUUAACAUGGAAACUGCCAUUGAUACUAUGUUUCUUGAAUUUUUCUGGAGGUCAGCGGAAUAUGUCAUGUAGCGGUGAAAUGCUUAGAUAUGACAUAGAACACCAAUUGCGAAAGGCAGCUGACUACAGGGAUAUUGACACUGAGGCACGAAAGCGUGGGGAUCAAACAGG
rnacentral:rRNA from 1 species